CCGCACCUCUGCUUCCUCUCUCUCUCUAGCCGAACCGAUAUUGGAGCAUUGUACCUCCACUCUCUCUCAUUGUUUUGUCCAUCUCUUCCCCUGUAUUUCUUCCCUUUCUCUCUCUAAUAUCUUGCUCAAUUCGUCUGUAUUUCUUCCCUUUCCCUCUCUAAGAUCACUGUCAUAGUUUUGUCCCCCACUCUCUCAUUGUUUUGUCCAUCUCUUCCUCUGUAUUUCUUCCCUUUCUCUCUCUUCCUCUGUAUUUCUUUCUCUCUUAGAACAUAUUGCUGGCUACGCAUCCUUGUCUCCUCUAUCACACCCCAUUCCACUUCUCUAACCACUCCUCUCUGUCUAUAUUUACCCCAAACCUGCCAUUCUUCUUGGAUAUCAAUAAAAAUUUUCUGAACAAAUUGAGAAAAAUCGAUCGGUUUCAUACGAGAACCGGCGUUAAAAGAAAUUCUACUCAGAAUUGAUGAGAAUAGUUCGGAAGCAAAUACUCUUUCAUGGGGCAUUGCAUAAUGAAAUAUUCACUUGGAAGCAUGGAUGGGCAAGACAAAAUUAAUGGACAAGCACCAGGCACUGAGAAAAGUACAAUAGAAAGUUGCCUUUCAUUAAGUGAAUACAUGAAGAGUUAUUUUGAGUUCAUAGCGAUACCCAUACCCGAUGAUGCUUUGAAUGCACCUUUGGCAUCAGAGAUAAUGUCUCCUCUUUCAACUGAUGCCAUGUUAGAUACAAGACUAAAGGGGCAAGCAUCCGGUGAGCCAUUGGAGGGACAUAAUAGCUUGAUGUGGUCGAACUCUCAACAUUGAACCUUGUGCUGGUGGCCACCGAAACUGGGCACCAUCAAAUUAAACUUUGACGGGCGUUUAUUUGGAAACCAGGCAGCGUAGGUGUGGGAGCAAUGUUCAGUGAUAGUAAGGGAACCACGAUCUUAUUCAUUUGGGGGCCCAUCAACAUUACAACGUCAUCAAUGGCAAAGCCAUGUGCCCUCUUACGAGGCCUCAAGCUCUUCAAUAGAAGUUUGGGCACCUCGUUAGUCUUCCAAGGGAAUUCAAAAAAUGCCAUCAAUUGGGCCAAUAUGGUCAUGGAGACGGAUUGAGAUCUUGAAGAUAUUUUAUCGGUAUGUGCCUCACUUAACUUCACCUUUUCAUUAUAUUGGGCAAGAGGCCAAUAGCAUAGCCAAUGUUCCAAAAAAUGCCGGUUGGUGCCAUGCACUUGUGGGGGGGAUGGCCGUCAGAUAGGAGUGGGCGGCCCAGAUUUCUCGAUCUUCAAUCUGCAACAUUUGAGAUGUUUCCCGAUCUCAAAUGCUUCCUAAAAGCCCUCUAAUAAGCUUCAAAAAUCUAUAAAAUCAAAUUCAAACCAAAAGGAUGAUGUUUGGAUCAAUUUUUCAAAACUCUGAAUUAACCCAUCAAUCUAAUAGGAAAGCAAAUAUGUAUCUUCUUGUUGUUUUUUUGCACUUAUGUAAAAAGAAAGGGUUUAGGACAUAUGAAAAUCUACCCCCCCCCAAUCUCUUCCCCCUUAUUUUGGGGGAAAAGUACAAAAAUGCCUCUCUAUUGGGGGCAUUUUUGCCCCUGGGCAGGCAUAGUCCUAGGCCGCCUCCUAGGCACCAGAUAGGCUAUUUCUUGGAACAUUGGGCAUAGCAGAUGGCUUGGCUAAACAGGGGGCUCCUAGCACAUCUCUAGUGCUCAAUCCACCCUUAAGUGUAACACCACCGGCAUUUUUUUGUUUUCCAUUUUGGCUGUUUAGUGAUUUUGCGAGACUGAGCGCUUCUUCUUUCAUGAAUGUCGUCUCCAAUUUCAUUCAUGGUAUGCCGUAUACUGCAGUUUGUAUAUGUAUCAGUUCAAAUACCUAUUUAAUAUAGGUAACACUACUCAAUUUGUGUAUGUAUCAUUUUAAAUAUCUACUUCGUUUGACAUGCGUUGGUAUGAAAAACCUACUUCCAAUUUGAUUUCUAUUUUUUGAAUCAGAAAAUAUUCAACUGCAAUUAAUACAAGUAUUAUGUGGCAGGCACAACAGGAACAUGUUCCUCGAAUAUAUAAGCUUGCCAGUAUUGGCUCUUUUUGGAAUAUUUGGGGUUAUGGCACUUUCUUUUCACAUAGAUGGAGUUCUUGUAUAACUCCAUUUUCAUUUUUAUUGAAAUGCUAUAUUUUCAUAGUACCUUUGGUUAUUAUUUUGAGGCAGCAAAAAGUUUACAAGUUCUUGAGGUUUUUAGUCCGUUUAUCUCGUAUUAAUCGUCAUUUAUUAUUUGUACAAAUACAUGCCUUCACUGUGUGUGCUAGCUAUGUGCUGGAAUCCAUCUAUACAAAGGAGAAUUGCAUUGAGGCAAUUGUUUUCAAAAUAUUCUCAACUUUAGAGUCAUGAAGAGCUAACCAAAUCUUUUCUUUCUAUUCAAUGAAAAUCCAAUACCAAUUAAUGAAUUAGUACGUCAUAUUAGACAGCUUUCAAUAAACAUUCUCAUCUAAAUGUUACUUUUUUUGUUUGUGGUAUACUAAGAGAUCCAUAAACUCCGUGUAGAAUACCAGUGUCAACAUUGAUACAAAGGCGCCAUACUCCUGGGAUACUUUUAAUAUAAUAAUAUUAAAAGAACAGAUUAUGAAUAGUAUAUAUUUAAUAAAUGUAUGCAUGGUAUAUGAAGUUAUUCACGAUAAUAUGAUUUACUUAAAAUUAAUAAAAUCUAAAGUAAUUACAUGUUAUUGUAUAUCUUAAAGAUAUCAUAUAUCUUAAACAUAAUGUGUUUAAAAUCUAAAGUAAUUACAUGUUAUCUUAUAUCUUAAAGAUAUCAUAUAUCUUAAACAUAAUGUGAAUAAUUUAAGAUAAAUCUUGAACAUUGGUCGAACUAUAUGAUGGAAUACUAAUAUAAUAAAGUUAUCUUGAACAUGUAAUAUGAUAUGGUCGAACUAUAUGAUCGAAUACUAAUAUAAUAAAGUUAAAGGCAUAUCUGUUACUAUAUCUUGUGUGUAAUAGUCUGUGUUUUGUGCGUGUUUGUUUGUCGAGGAUAUUCAUAUCUGCAUCUAUGUGCUAGAUAUUGGAAAAUGCUAAGUCAUGUGCCCCUCCCCAUAUCAACAUUUACUUUUUAUAACUUGAGAUUAUUAAUUACCUUUCUGUCACUGUGCUAGCGAGGGUUUACUAGGUCCCUCCAUGUUCUAUUAAUAAGAAAAAGAAAUGGAUAGAGCAGAGCACAUGACUAGCAUCAAACUAAAGAGAUAUAUGCUCUCCCUCGUGAUUACAAGGAUACUAAAUAUAAAUCAAGCACUCCCAUCGCCAUUUCAUAACCCCUAGGGAGAGAAACUACAUUCCUUUUGGUGCUAUAGAUACCAGUGAUCAAAAUCACCAAGUGGACUCAGAAUCACUUGAGUUGACUCGGAACCGGAGGAGUACCAGGCUGGUUCUUGCCAGACUUGGGCAAAUCUCUUGGUAUUUUCUUAUGAUGUGAAAAUGCUGGUAAAAAAAAAAGGUUUAUUUUUCAGAAUUGUUUUCCAUCUAAUAAUCCACAUCUAACCCCCAUUUUGAUAGAUGAGCACAAUCAAUCCCUCUUAUACUUAAAAAAAUCAAAUUUUUAAUCAAAUUUUACAUUUGGGUAAAAUUUCCUCAUAAAAAAUUCUUACAAUAUCUCUCAUUUCUCAACCAAAUAAUCUAUACAAUUGAUUCAAAAUGUUGGUAUUGGAGCCUUCUAUCAUAUCCUUAUAACAAUUUGUUGGACUAAAAAGUAAAAGAGAAGACAUUGUCUAAAUUUCAAGGGUUUGUGACCGGAAAUUGGAAAUAUCUGAUUUCUCUCUCAUUUUUUUUAUCAAAUUUAUUCUAAAUUUUCCCAAAUAUCUUGGAGAUUAUUUUUGGUUAUUUAUUCAGCCAUAUAUCUUUGCCAUUUUCUUCCCAAAGUGUUUUUUUUUUCUUAAUUUUAAUUUUUGAAUGGAUUUUAAUUUGAACUUCUUAUUAUAUGUAAUCAAAUAUUUGGGUUUCAAUCCUUGAUUUUGUAUAUUUCUCGUUUUUCCUUUUUUUUUCUCAAUUUUCUCGAAUCCGUUGAUCCAACUCAGUGACUCAUCCUAUUUUGCUUGGAUUGGUGGGUGACCGGUUCAAACGACCUGUCCGAUACUUUAAACACUGCGACUGCAAAGAAAUGAAGGCAAUUCAUGGACUCUUGCUUUGAAGGCAAAUGUCAGGUUAAGAUCCGUAGGCUGGAAAGAAAUGAAGGCCUUGUCCUGGUCAUGUUGGCCUUGAUAUGGGGGGCUAAGCAUUUUCCUUACGUACCAAAACUUUAAGAAACAUAAUGGCGAAAAGCUAUGGCUGGCUUGUUUGGUUGGCCCACCUGGUGUAUGGACUAGAUGGUUUCUGAAUGGUAGAGCUUUGAAGGGAAAUGUCAGGUUAAGAUUCGUAGGCUGGAAAGAAUUGAAGGCAUUGUCGUGGUCAUGUUGGCCUUGAUAUGGGGGGCUAAGCAUUUUCCUUACGUACCAAAGCUUCAAGAAACAUAAUGGCAAAAAGCUAUGGCUGGCUUGUUUGGUUGGCCCACCUGGUGUAUGGACUCGAUGGUUUCUGAAUGGUAUUCUUUGGGCCGAAUCAGCGCUUAAAAGUUAGUUGCUGCGGGUAUUAUGGCGUCUUUAUACACAUUGAACAAAAAGUUAGUUGCUGCGGGGAUUGUGGCGGCUUUAUCCACAUUGAACCUAGCGUUGCCAUUUUCUGCUCCAGGGGAAGUAUGCUAUAACUCAAUGGAUGGUGAGAAAAAAGACAGAAAGCAUCCUGUGUUAUUACUGCCCAUUGAAAUGGUAAGUGAGAGAGUGGCACGCAGUAGAUGGGGCAUAUCAUAUUCUAGGCGUCUCACUCUUUCUAUCACCACCCAUCAUUGUGAUUACCCAAUGGGCUACAUCUCUUCUUUCAGGGCCUGUUGAUUAGUGGUAUACUUUCUGUUUUAUUCAACUGGGUUUUGCACGAGAA